rnacentral:rRNA from 1 species
GAUGAACGCUGGCGGCGUGCUUAACACAUGCAAGUCGAACGAAGCACCUUGGGCAGAUUCUUCGGAUGAAGCCCUUGGUGCCUGAGUGGCGGACGGGUGAGUAACGCGUGGGUAACCUGCCUCAUACAGGGGGAUAACAGUUAGAAAUGGCUGCUAAUACAGCAUACGCGCACGGUACUGCAUGGUACAGUGUGAAAAACUCCGGUGGUAUGAGAUGGACCCGCGUUGGAUUAGCUAGUUGGCAGGGUAACGGCCUACCAAGGCGACGAUCCAUAGCCGGCCGGAGAGGGUGGACGGCCACAUUGGGACUGAGACACGGCGCAGACUCCUACGGGAGGCAGCAGUGGGGAAUAUUGCACAAUGGGGGAAAGCCUGAUGCAGCGACGCCGCGUGAGCGAAGAAGUAUUUCGGUAUGUAAAGCUCUAUCAGCAGGGAAGAAAAUGACGGUACCUGACUAAGAAGCCCCGGCUAACUACGUGCCAGCCGCCGCAGUAAUAC